GUGCCUAUAUAUAUAUAUGAUUAUUGCUCUCCUCUUGCUUUCUUAAGUUUCUAUGUUUCUCAUAUUUACUCAUUACUUCUACUGUACUAAUACUUAACUAAGCACUAGUUGAGCACAUAUUUACUUUAGUGUCUUAAAAAAUCCAAUUCACCUCCCUCCUAAGUUGUCAAUCUGGGCAACAAAAGAUGAAUGCAAAAUGUACCAAGAGACAGUUUUGUGAUGUUUAUUUUAGUCUAGCUCUUUAUG
rnacentral:lncRNA from 1 species